CUUGUUUCUCAUCAGGCUCUUGGACACCCUUUGGCUAUAUACUCAGGUGAGUGGUCGUUGGGAUUGCCCUGCAUUCUCUGGUCUGGAGAUUGGAAUCAAGACUUUGAAGUUUUUCUAUAAUCUUUCCCAGAGACUUGCUGUAUAGCCUGGCUUCAGGGACAUGCUGGAGCCUCCUAGUGGUGGCCUCUGGGCAUGGGAAUGUUCAUAACAACAGGGUGAAUGGGGCCUACUGAGUUCAAAGUACUUUGGCAUGAGUUAUUAUCACUGCACAGGGGUUUAGGCACAUACCUAGCAUCUCAUAGAUUGAAACAUGAUGAAGGAUAAUGAUGUGUUCUGACCUUCCAGGGUGUGGUGGGAAUGAGCAGAGAAGGGCUUUGGUGUCAAUGGAUAGUUUAGCCUGGAGUGUUCCACAGAAACACAAAAGCAGAAUCGCUGUGCAUAAUGACAACCUUUGGCUGGAUCAGAGUGGGACCCAGGUGAGUCAAAUCUCUUGGUGAUUUGAAUCUGCUUUUAAGGUUUUGCUGCGCUGCACUCUGUGAAUUUCAAAUGGUCUCAGUCAAUUUGGCUGAUCCAUUCAUUUACUUAGAGACUUUACAAAUUAAGCUAGUCAAUACCUACUGAAUACCUACCCUAUGCUACAUACUGUGUUAAGUGCUGUGGCAAAUUCCGAGAUGAAUCUCCGUUCUUGCCCUCUAGGAGCUCAUAGUCUGGUGGGGGAUAUAAGAUAUGUAGACUAAUAACUGGAAUAGAGGGUGGAUAGUGGUAAUGAUUCAAGACAAAUACAAAUAGCAUAUACAGUGAGUUCAGAGGAGGGAGAGAUAGUCAAAAGCUGGUGAAAGAUCUGGGGUAAAUUUUCAGAACAAGAAGUAUUUGCACUGAACUUUAAGGAUUAGAGACGCAGAGGGCAUGCUGGAAGAACCACGGCAGGAAAAUCUGAGUGUUUAUACAAAGUGAGAAGUUUUGUUUGGUUAGCAAGGGAGAUUGGAAAAGAUAGGUUGAAGCUAGAUCCUAGAGGAUCCUCAUCUUCUGUGCAAGGAGUUUGGCCCUUGUUCUUUAGGCAGUGAACAUUGUAGAAGAGUGCAACCUCAUGGAUGAAUGUUUUAGGAGGAGCUGGCGGUAGGACGUAGGAUGGAUGGGGGAAGGAAAAGAUGGAAUGUGGAGAAAUAUGAGGCAAUUUGGGGGAUGGUAUAGGCAGGUGGAAUGGAGACGAGUGGGUAACUUAGUUGUUCAGGAGUAGAAUUAACACAACUUGGAAACAUUAUAAAAAGGGGCAGAGGACAGAUAUGAAUGAAAAAUGCUAUGACAGUUCCAAGCAUGGGUGGCAGAGGAGAUUGGUGGAACCAACAGGGGGUAAAAAAGGCAAAGCAUAUUUGGAGGGAAAUGGAAGGGGUUCAGUUUUGGACAAGAGGGGUUUGAGGUGGAGGAUACAGGAUACAGUCUCAUUUGCAUUGAGGAGAAAACAAAGCAGCAUAUUUCUGUAAGAUUUCAAAGGACAGAUGGAGAGAGAUCUGUUCUCUGUGGAGAAAGAGUGAGAAACAGUAUAGAAGUGAGUCGGUGCUCAGGAGUCAGAUCUCAGUUUGAAUUUCAGCUCUGCCACAUACUCUUUGUGGCUGUGGCAAGUUACUUAACCUCUCUGGGCUCAGUUUAAUCAUCUACAAAAUGGGAUAGAAAAUAGCAUUUUUCUCAGAGUGGAUGUGAGAGUUCAGUUAGAUGAUAUAUGUCAGAUAUUUAGAAUGACUCCUGGCAUGUGUUCAAUAAAAGCUAAUUAUUUUAAAAAAUUUACUACCACUAAUAAUGGAAAUGAUUGUGGACAGAAACUUGGGGGCAUGGACAUUUUUGGGGCUUGGGGGAGGAGAAAUUAGAGAAGUAAGAAGUAAGAAAUUAGAAAAGUAAGAAAAAACAACAGAAGAGGAUCAAUGAACUAUAGUUUUGCAGUGUUAGGAAAGAAUUUUACAAGGACUUGGUGACCACUGUUAAUCAGUUGAAGUGAGAAGUUAAUGUGGAUGAGUCUAGAGAAAAUAUACUAUUAAAUUUGGAAGGGGAAUAUGUUAAUUUGCUAGGGCUUCCAUAUCAAAGUACCACAAAUUGGGUGGUUUGAACAACAGAUAGGUAUUGUCUCACUUCUGGAGGCUAGGGGUCUGAGAUCAAGGUGUUAGCAGAGUUGGUUCCUUCAGAGAGUGUGAGGGAAGAAUCUGUUCCAUGCCUUUCCCCUCACUUAUGGUUUAGUGGCAAUCUUGGCAUUCCUUGGUAUGUAGAUAUAGUACCCCAAUCUCUGCCUUUGUCAUCACAUGGUAUUUUCCCUGUGUGUAUGUCUGUGUCCAAAUUUCCUCUUUGUAAUAACACCAGUCAUAUUGGAUUAGGGGCCCUCCCUACUCAGUAUGACUUCAUUUUAACUAAUUAUAUCUGCAACAACCCUAUUUCCAAAUAAUGUCACAUACUGAGGCUCUGGAGGUUAGGACCUCAACAUAUGAAUUUUGUUGGGACAGAAUUAAACUCAUAACAGGGAAGGUGGACUUCGGAAGAAUAGUUUAGGCAGAGAUCAGAUUAUACAUAGAGCAAGAAAGGAAGAAAGUGGAACUCUAAGAUGGAAGUAAAACUGAAGAACAUGGGACAAAGGGAAGUAUAUUGUCCAUGAGGGCAAAGAAGAUGUUUAAAAUGAGCAGAAAGCAAGAUGGAUGGAUGAGCCAUAGUCUGUGUCUAUACCUAAGUCCAGAGGAUGGCCUUUACUAUACCCUUCUCCUAGGCCCCGUGCUCUUUUCUUUUGUUUUUACUUGAAUUGUAUGGAGAAUUGGUUUAUCUCUCCAGUUUGCUCAUGAAAAAAUAGUUAAGAAAUUGUUACCAAGAGAGAAAGAAAGGGAGCACAUGCGGAUAGCUCUGAUUGAUAUUUUACUGUAGAAAUAUAAUGAGGGAGGACAGAAGGGAGUCAUCCUUUGCAUACAACUGGAGUAUAUCUACUUGUAGAAUUUCAGGAUUUCUUAAAAAAUUUUCAUAAAUAUAUAUAUAUAUAUAUAUUUUUUUUACAAAAGAAGAUAUGUAGCUUAGAAUGAAGAACAUUUCCUUUGAGAAAAAGCUUUAAGGAUAGUAAUAAGCUUAAUUAAAUAGUGUUUCAUAUUCAGAAGGGAACAAAAUUAUAAAUGUACAUACAACUUUCUCAACCAUAUGUUCUUUUUAAUGAUAUUAAUAUAUCCCUAGAGAUAAUAGUAAAGCUUCUUCCUAAUUAGGUAGUAUUUUAUUAAACUGAAAGAAAUCUCAUGUUAGUUUGAAUACUAUUUUCAAGAAUUAAAUAACACUUAUAGUCUCAGAUAAAGAGGAUUUUGCUUUCUUCCAUGGAAAUUAUUGGUGCUAGUCAAAAACCAAUUUUAGAAUGAGGGAAACAAGGAGGCUGCUUGCUAAUUGAAGACAAUUCAAAUUCUCCAAGAUUUUGCCAAGCACGAUUAUAUUAUUGCUAAUGCUAUUUAUGCCAAGAUAGCUAUUUUAAGUAAAAAUUAGGAUAAUUUAAACUUUAUAAAAAUGUAAUUUCUGCAGUUGACUAAUUUUUUUCAGUCAAAUCAGUCAAAAUGAUUUUCAUUUAUAGAUUCAGCCUAAAUUAACUUUAAGAGUAUAGUAUAGAGCAAGGUCAUGAGGACGGGGACUGGAAAAAGAAAGACUAGAGUUCAAACCCUGGUUCUGUGAUUAAAAAGGAUGUAAAAUUGGGGCGCCUGGGUGGCGCAGUCGGUUAAGCGUCCGACUUCAGCCAGGUCACGAUCUCCCGGUCCGUGAGUUCGAGCCCCGCGUCAGGCUCUGGGCUGAUGGCUCAGAGCCCGGAGCCUGUUUCCGAUUCUGUGUCUCCCUCUCUCUCUGCCCCUCCCCCGUUCAUGCUCUGUCUCUCUCUGUCCCAAAAAUAAAUAAACGUUGAAAAAAAAAAAAAAACUUAAAAAGGAUGUAAAAUUGAAAAUGAUACAGAUCAAAAUAAUUAUAAGGAGUACUACAUGUACCUCUAUGACAAUAUGUUGAAAACUAAAUGUACUUCUAUGACAAUAUGUUUGAUUUCCAACUCCCCCCACCCAACUAUAAAUCCCCCAAAGGAAUAAGCUGAAGCAGAAAAUAUGAAUGUACCAAUUACUAUACAACAUGUCAGAAAGGUGAUUAUAAAGCUAUGGUUGAAGAAGACAACAGGCCUAGACAGAUUCACAAAAUUGUUUUUCUCAUUUUUAAAGGAUAAUAAAAAUGUUUUAUAAACUAGGUCAUAGACAGUGAUCAUAUAUGAAUAUAGGUGCAACAUUUAUAAAUAAAAUAUUAACAAAUAGAUUUAAUAAUGUAUUUAGGAGUAGUAAAACAAGUACACUUUGUUUCAAAAAUAUAAAUACUGGAAACCUAUUAACAUCCAUUUAUCAACAAAUUAAGGGAAAAAAACCCAACAUCUCCAUUUGACAGACACUUGAUUAAAUUCAGCAACUAUCCCUAAGAAAAACUAUCCCCCCCACAAUAAAGAUCAUUUACCAAAAAGAACAGCAAAUAUUAUCCUAGAUGGUAAAAUAGUAAAACCAUUUUAAUUCAAACCAAGAAUUAGACAGAAAUGCCUACCCUUGUCAUUAUUAUUUAACAUUGUCUUGGAGAUUUGUGCAAGUGUAACAAAUAAGUAAAAUAACUGGUAGAGAAAAUACUGGGGAAGAGGAGAAAAACAAGCUCACUUUUUGACUAUUUGACUAUAUACAUGGAAAAUCCAGGAUACCAUAGUAAAACUUCUUAGAGUUAAUAAGGUAAUUUGGCUAGGUGUCUAGAUGCAAGAUAAAUACAUUAAAAUCAGCAAUUUUUAUGUACUACAAAAAUAAAUAAGUACAAAUGGAAAUGUUCACAACUACUUAAUAACAACAGAGCUAUAAAAUAGGAAGAAAUUUAACAAGAACAAGACUUAAUAUGAAGCAAAUAAAUCAUUAGGAGUUAUAUGUCUUCUAGAAGGACAUAAAACAAGAUAUGAACAAAUAAAAACACCAUGUUUUCAGAUGGGAAGACAAUGUUAAAAUUGUCAAUUCUUCUAAAAUUAAUAUGUAAAAUUAAUGCAGUUCUUACUAGGAUCCCAGGGGCUUUGAGUGGGAAGGAUUUGAUAAAAUGGUAUUAAAGUUUGUGUAGAAGAAUAAAUGUUCAAGAUGGCUCAGAAAAAUAUGAUAAAAAGAUUAGUGAGAGAGGGUUUAUAGAAUGUCAGAGCAUACUAUAAAUUAAGUAUUACACUGGUACAAGAAUAGGUAACUAGAUCAGUAAAAUAGAAUAAAGAGUCUGGAAAUAAACCCUGGAUUAUAUAAGCAUCGUCUACAUUAGGAAGUUGGAAGUAUAGCUCAGUGGGAAAAGAAUAUAUUCUGUGAUGAAUGGUCCUGGCAGAACUGGCUAUCUACUUGGAAGAAAAACUUGGAUCCUUAUCUUAUGUUUAUUCCAAAAAAAAAUAAAGAUCUAUAUAAAGACUAAAUAUAAAAAAUUAUACAGUAACGUCUUGCAAGAUAAUCUGAGAGACUACAUUCCCACAUUUUCUAAGAAUUGGGAAUGAUGGGGAAAGACCCCUUUAACCAGAAGUUUAAUCAUCUUUAUAUAAAAAUUCAUCCUUUUGUAUGGCAAAGAUCAUCAGCAGAGUCAAUAGACAGAUGACUGAUUUGGAAAAAAAACUAAUUGUCAUGCAGGUGAUAGGUAUAUAAUUUGUAAUGAAAAUAUACCAAGAACUCUUACAAAUAGUGAGCAAAAGACAAACUACCCAGUAAAAAUGGCCAAGUCUUAUAAACAGGCAUUUUGUGGAAGAGCAAAUCUUGUUGCCAGCAAACGUGACAAGGUGCCCAAAUUCAUUAGAAGUUAGAGAAAUGCAAAUUAAAGUAAUAAUGAGAUUAAUCCUUACCUCUACCAGACCAGUGGAAAGAAGCAGUGAUGCAGACUGCUGGUAGGAUAUAGAGAAAGAGGUAUGCGCGUCCUUUGCCAAAGGAAAGGUGAACUAUUUCAGUCCUUCUGAAAGUAAUCUGGCAAUUCCUUUUAAAAAUAAAAAUAUCUUUCCUGCCACUUGGCAAUCCCUCUCAUGGACUUUCUUUUAUACAAAUAAGCCCAUUCUAAUUUAAAAAGAUUUCUUUAAGAUAUUGUUAAAUGAGAAAAACAAGAUGCCAGGAAAUGUAUGAUUCAGUUUUUAUAAGACAAACAAUGAAAAGCCUUUGCCAAUAUGAAUAUGAGUAUGUGAGAUUAUAGUAUGGAGAAGUAUACAGAAGGACAUAUACUAGGCUGUCAGCAUGAGUUUUCUGUGGAAUUAGAAGGAGAACAGAUAGUAAAACCAAUAUAAUUUUUCAACAAUUUCCUAUACAACACAUUUGCUUAUUUUUUCAGAUUAAAAUUUUUGUCUUACUGAAAAUUUUCUAUUAAGGUUAGUUUUUCCAUAAACAUUUUUUGACAAAGACUCAAUAAUUAGCGUUUUCUUCCUAUCUAGCUGGACUGACUAUAACUUACGUUAUUGGGAAUUUUCUUUUGGACCAUUAUUUUUAACAAGUAUGAUUCUCCUGGGUACCUUAUCAAAGUUUUGUGAAGAAGAUUCUAUUUUUUACAUAUAAUUUUUGGCUCAAAUUUUGCUGUUUUCAGUAUUACCUGAAAGAUAGGAUUCUUCUUAUGAUUUUUCAGUCAAUAUAAAUGUUACUGUUCAAAGAUUUUGCCAUUGCAAGUUUUACUUUGUAUGGAUUAUUUAUGCAAGUCAUGUUUAUUAUGGAUUGGAUGUGGUGGUGAUUUUAUAUUUUUUGCCCAGAGAAGAAAAGCAAAUUAAUAGAGCAGAGAUGUGAGAUCUGAAUGCACGAUGGAUGAAAAUAUCUUUGAGGUCAGCACUUGAGGUUAAAAUGCUCUUCUUUGUACCUGACAUAGACUAGGUGCUUGGUAGUUACUAUUAUUAUUUCUUGAAGGUAUAAAUCAAUCCUACCUUGUUUAGCCAUCUUAUGCUCUGCAAGCCUUUGUGAUUGGGAUUUAGGGAGACAAUAAUCUGAAAAUCCACAUGUUAAGGUGAAAUCUGACAUUUAAGCAUUGGUGGCUAAUUUGAAUUUUAUGAACCACAGUGUGGGCUAACAUUAUGUAGUUUCCGUGAAGUGUGUCCACAGGCUGCAUACUACUUUUUGACUUCUGGUGCAGCACAACUCUUGGCUGUCCUAAUGUUCCUGAUGCUGGAAAUGUGGCCUACUAGAAAAAUGUCAUCCUCUGUCUGAGAAGUCCCUCCUGCCACAGAAAUUUGACUGGAACCCCAGGACCAGAUAAGUCAGGUACGCCCUUGUUUCAGAUCGGAACGAUGGAAGAGAAGUGUGCUAGAGAGGGGUCAUCUAGGUGCAUCCCAUAUGGUCUCUCAUGUAUUUCCCUUCAUCCCUAUGAACUAGCUGCAUGGGAUGCUGGCUCUCCAGCAGCAGGUGGCAGCAUUAGCCCAAAGAUUGGCCACGUUAGGGCCUGUAAUACUCCCAAUUCCUUCCUUAUUCGUAUGUGUGUGUAUAUGUAAGAGAAGGAACAGAUUACUCCCCAUCAGUUUUAGGGGGAAGAAAAUGAUUUUCCAUAUACUUAAAAAUUUAAAAAAAUAUUUAAGCCCCUACUAUGUGCCAGCCACUGUGCUGUGCAUUUUAUUUUUAACUGAUUUUUAUUUAGUUUAUUUUUUUUGAGUAUAGUUGACACACGAUGUUACAUUAGCUUCAGGUGUCCGACUCAGUGGUUUGUCGAGUUUACACGUGGUGCCAUAUUCACCGCAAGUGGUGUGCUGUGCAUCUUAAUGGUCGUGUUGUUUAAUUUUCACAACCUGUGAGGCAGGCUACUAUUUCUCUCAUUUCAAAGGUGAAGAAAUUGACUUUUUGAGGCUAAAGGAAUCUGCCUGAGGCUGUACUGUUUCUAAGAGGCAGAGCUGGGUCUGCAGUUACUAGAUCUUUGACUGUUUUCCUGGAAUCAUACCUGUCAUUCAGAUCUGGAGUCGACUUUCUGUCUCAGUUCUCCUGACAUUUGCCUGAUUAAUGUUGUUGAGAAACUUGGGCUGGAUUUGGGGACAGAGAAAGCUGGCAUGGCAGAGGAUAUUUGCCCCAGAUGCUGGCCAGGUGGUGUGCCCCAAAGCUGGUGAUAGAGGGAAGAUGGAUGCUAUUACGGAGGAACACCAUGCUUUCAGUCUGGAGAAUGGAUGUAGAGAUUUGAUGUGUUUUUUCUUUCUUAUAUAACAAUUCCUAUGACAAGAACAGAUUACCUUUUUCCUGAUUUCUUACUAUUCAAAGUAUUGGCAUAGAAAAGAAGUUCUAUGAGAAGUUUAAUGCUUCUUGUGAUAAAUGUGAGGGGCUGGCUUUUUGGUAAUUAAAGCUGCAGGAUGUUUGCGUGACAGACCGGUCCUUGGCUAUUUCAUACUGUGUCAGAAUGUAUUUGAUUAAAAAUGGCUAAUCUCAUGAUUUUAUAUAAAUGGCUCAAAAAUGGUAGAUAGUCCGCUAAGUAAAUUAGAUCAGCCAGCAAAGUUCACAAUUUCUUCUGGUAAGGCAGUGUUAGGUAGAGAGCAGCUUCAGAACUAAUUCUCCCUUGCCUGUGUGAUCUUGUGUAGUAAGCAACUCAUUCUUCAUCUGUAAAGGAGGGGAUGGGCUGGAUGACACCAGAAGUUUUCUUCCUGCUUUUCAAGCCCGUGAUUUUCUGGAGUCCCCGUGGAUCUAUAUGUGAACAGAACUAGCCCCCUUCCAGGCAGAGGAGCUCCAGAGGUGGGCACAGAGAUUAGAUAAGACCUUGUAUCUUUACAGGAAUGGUCCCAAGUCACUGGCAAGUUAGGAACCGACUAAAAAGGACACUAUUAUAUCACAUUUAAAGAGCAUGGCUUUGGAGUCAGACAGUCCUUAUCCAAAUCUUGCCUCCACUGAUGACUAGUUAUAUAAUCUUAGGCAAGUCACUAUAACUCCCUGAAUCUCGAUUUUCUUAGUAGAUACCUUAAAUUUGCUGUGGGUUUUAAGAGUCAUGGUAAAACACGUGAUAGUUACCCAAUAAAUGGUAAUUCUUCUCACUAGUGAUUGUUAUGGGUUGAAUUGUGUCACCUGAAAAUUCGUAUGUUGAAAUCCUGGCUCUCAGCACCUCCGAACGUGAUCUUAUUUGGAGAUAUGUUUUUUUUCCAGAGGUAAUCAAGUUAAAAUGGGGUCAUUAAGGUGGGCCUUAAUCAAAUAUGGUGUCCUUAUAAAAAGGGGGAUUUAGGCACAGAGAUAUACAUAGAGGGGAGAUGAUGUGUAUAGAUGCAGGGAGAAGACAGCCAUCUGUGCCAAGAAGAGAGCCCUGGAACAAAUGCAUCCCUCAUGGCUCUCGGAAGAAACCAAACCUGCUGACACUUUGAUCUUGGACUCCAGCCUCCAGACUGAGAGAGAACACGUUUCUGUGUUUAACCUACCCAAUCGGUGGUGCUUUAUUACCACAGCCCCAGCAAACUACUACACCUAUUUUCACUCAGGUUGCUAUUCUACUGCCAUCUUGUUCCCCUCUGAGUGCACCUUGUGUAGCACCUAUACAAGGACAAGUUGUGGCUUUAUGUUCACUGCCUCAGCUGCUCCAAAGUGGUCGGCCAGCCUUUGGGAUGGUAUUGAAAUAGUUCACAUUUAUUGCUACCAUUUCAUAUUCCAGGACAUUGAGGCACAGGUAUGUUUAGCAACUCAUCUCAAGGUCACACACCUAUGAAGUAGUAGAGCCAAGAUCUAGAUGGACCCAGACAUUCUGUCCCCAGAAUCCUUGCCCUUAAUUCUCACAGUGACAUGUUAACCACCAUGCAGAGAAGCUUGGAGAUGAUGGGUUGAAAGAAGAGUAAGUCUGAGUGGCCGCCUCUUAUCAGCAGGACAGAACUGACAGCUCUGUGUGUUCAGCACUGGCCUCCAUGUAUCUCUGUCAUCACAUCACUGGAACAUGCUAGUCAAUGGUGCCCACUGCCUGCAGAUCACUGAGCCUGCUAAGAAGUUCCAUUGGCCAGAGUCCAGAGCUAUUGCUCUCAUUUUAGGUCCUGGACCCUUCAUCUUUCAGGAUUUCCCCAAGCUGCCGUUGAUGAAUUUUUGGGCCUCUGCCCAAGGAUCUGAUGUAGAAAAGCACUAUGGAGGGGCGGAAUGCCAUAGUGGUUAGGGGUGCAGGCUCUGAUGUCAGAUGCUUGGGUUUGGAUACUGGCUCUGUUAGUAAUUUAGUUAGCCUCAGAUACUCACCUAUGAAAUGGGGAUGGCAGUAGUAUUUAUUUCAUAUGGUUGUCUUGAUGAGGAUUAUUAAUGCAUACUCAUUUCUUAGAUCAACACUUGGUGGGUACUUAAUGCAUGUUGGCUAUUAUAACAUGUCCGUGGGAUGGGAUAUAGUACUAUAAUGGUAACUAUAUAGGAGUGCAUCUCUUCCAGGAAGAAGACUGAACUAUAUCCAGUCUGUAGUAAUAAAUUCAUAAAAUUUCAAUAACCUGCCAUCCAUAUUGCCAUACAAAUACAGAGCUUGAUGUAUAUGCAAGAAUUAUUAUUUCAGGAAUUGUGCAAUUCAGUAGAAAAUGUUCAUAGCGUAUAAUAAAUAUUUGUUGAAUGAAUGAAUGAAAUGAGAGGUGAGGCCCUGGUGCUGCAGGAGGGAGGGGAAUGCAGGCUGGCCGAGAGAUGCUUGGGCCACUAUGACAAAAGAGUAGUAAAUUAUCCAGAGACCCAGCUCUAGAGGAUGGGGUGAACUCUGAACCAAGACAACAGGUGGAGAUGUGGAUGGCAGCAGGCAUCUCAGGACCCUGACUGUGGCCAUCAGUGGGGGAGAUGCUGGGGCCAAGGCUGGGCUGGCCUGGGAUCAGGGGCAAGGAGAAGCUCUAUUCCAGGUUAGGGGACUGAUGGGAAAUUCAAGGAGGACAGAAGCCUGUCAGACAGGCAGAAGGACUAUUCUCUGGGAAUUAGAGAUGGCCUCUGGCUCUGUGCUCACUCACCAGAUCUCUGGGGGCAGGCCUGGGGGCAUCGGAAGACUGCAGACCCUGGUGGCCACGUGAGUUAGCCUACCUCCUGAACACUGAGGACAGGUCUUUAUUACUGGCAGCUGGGAGGUGCCGGACACCUGGACUGAGAGAGAGUGUCAAGGACUGGAUGCCAGCCUACAUGCUGCAAGGCACGGGGAUGAUGCCGAAGCCCAGCGAAAAUGAGCCCUCCCAUUCUGAACCCGAAACUUGUGAUAUGACCUGGAACUUUUAAAGUGGAGUCAAUUAAAGGCUUUCCAGAAGCAAUGGAAAGAUUUCUAUUACGUUUGUCAGUAAGAAGUGUAAAUUAUUAUAAUCUUUUUGGAGAGUUAUUUUGCGAUAUUAUCACAAUUUAAAGGAUGUUAAUUGCAGUGGUGUUUGUGACUGUAAAAAGUGGAAAUGAUCUAAAUGCCAUCAACAGAAGAUUGGUUAAAUAAGUAAUAGUACUACUGUGUAUUUCAAUCAAAGAUGAUGAAGUAAACAUACAUGUACACUCAUGUACAACAAACAUACAAAGGUUACCACAUUGUAUUUUAUGAAAAAAGCGUGCUUCAGAAGAAUGAAUCACUAAUGCCCUGUGGGUGUAAAAAAAGAAUUAUGUGCAUAUAAUACACGUUUGAGUAAUGCAUGGAACAUAUCUGGAAGGACACAAACCAAAUGAGCAGUGGCUAAUUCCAGAAAGAGGGCUUGAUGGGAGAUGGGAGGGUGAGGAAAGGGAAGAGGGUAUUUUACUUUGUACUUCAUAGAUUUCUGUACUAUGUGCUUAUAUUGUUUUGUUUUACAAGUAUUUAUUGAGUGCUGUUUUUUUAAAACGGUGUAAAAAAAGAAUCUCAAAAUAAAACUGAAGUUUGUUACCUUGGU
rnacentral:lncRNA from 1 species